UAGAAAAAUUCAAAGACCGAUCGGCGACGCUAUAGCUUUGGGUACUUUCAGGACCCGUCUUGAAACACGGACCAAGGAGUCUAGCAUGUGCGCGAGUCAUUGGGAACAUCACUAAACCUAAAGGCGUAAUGAAAGUGAAGGUCUUCCUCGCGAAGACCGAGGGAAGACGGACGGUCGCGAAUUAAUUUUCCGAUCGUUCUGCAUUCCCGGGGCGUCUCGUUCACAUCGCGUGAAGAGGCGCACCAAGAGCGUACACGCUGGGACCCGAAAGAUGGUGAACUAUGCCUGGUCAGGACGAAGUCAGGGGAAACCCUGAUGGAGGUCCGUAGCGAUUCUGACGUGCAAAUCGAUCGUCGGAACUGGGUAU
rnacentral:rRNA from 1 species